rnacentral:rRNA from 1 species
CCUACGGGAGGCAGCAGUGGGGAAUAUUGCACAAUGGGGGAAACCCUGAUGCAGCGACGCCGCGUGAGUGAAGAAGUAUUUCGGUAUGUAACGCUCUAUCAGCAGGGAAGAAAAUGACGGUACCUGAUUAAGAAGCCCCGGCUAACUACGUGACAGCAGCCGCGGGAAUACGUAGGGGGCAAGCGUUAUCCGGAUUUACUGGGUGUAAAGGGAGCGUAGACGGCAGCACAAGUCUGGAGUGAAAUGCCGGGGCUUAACCCCGGAACUGCUUUGGAAACUGUGCAGCUAGAGUGCAGGAGAGGUAAGUGGAAUUCCUAGUGUAGCGGUGAAAUGCGUAGAUAGUAGGAGGAACACCAGUGGCGAAGGCGGCUUACUGGACUGUAACUGACGUUGAGGCUCGAAAGCGUGGGGAGCAAACAGGAUUAGAUACCCCUGUAGUC